ACGCUCGACACUACGGGGCAGCAGUGGGGGAUAUUGCACAAUGGGGGAAACCCUGAUGCAGCAACGCCGCGUGAAGGAAGAAGGUCUUCGGAUUGUAAACUUCUGUCCUCAGGGAAGAUAAUGACGGUACCUGAGGAGGAAGCUCCGGCUAACUACGUGCCUGCAGCCGCGGUAAUCUGAGCGGGCUGGCAAGGC
rnacentral:rRNA from 1 species